rnacentral:tRNA from 1 species
GGAGAGGUGGCAGAGUGGCCGAUCGUGCCUGACUCGAAAUCAGGUGUACCGCAAGGUACCGAGGGUUCGAAUCCCUCCCUCUCCGCCA